rnacentral:sRNA from 1 species
UAGGUGAAUUUAGCACAUUCGAUGAGUU